rnacentral:rRNA from 1 species
UACGUAGGGCGCAAGCGUUGUCCGGAAUUAUUGGGCGUAAAGAGCUCGUAGGCGGUUCGUCGCGUCGGCUGUGAAAACCUGAGGCUCAACCUCAGGCCUGCAGUCGAUACGGGCGGACUUGAGUACUGCAGGGGAGACUGGAAUUCCUGGUGUAGCGGUGAAAAUGCGCAGAUAUCAGGAGGAACACCGGUGGCGAAGGCGGGUCUCUGGGCAGUAACUGACGCUGGAGGAGCGAAAAGCGUGGGGAGCGAACAGG